rfam:Zostera marina strain Finnish scaffold_7, whole genome shotgun sequence.
AAGAUAAGAGCUUCUCAGCAUAGCCAAGGAGACUGCCUAUAACAUCAUGUAUAUCCAUGUAUGUAUAUGGCUAUAUGCUAUAUAUAUGCAUAUAGGCAAGUCAUCCUUGGCUACCAGAGAGCAAGCCAUUAUCU